rnacentral:tRNA from 2 species
GGGGAUAUAGCUCAGUGGUAGAGCUCAUGUUUAGCAUGAGGUCCUGGGUUCAAUCCCCAGUACCUCUA